AUCAGACUCCUCCCAAUUCUUCUUUCUUGAUGUUGCGGAACUGUAAUAACAUCAACCUUGUAAACGAAACUAUCAACGAAACAGUAGAUUCAGUAGAUCCUUAUGAUGCCAACCAGGUAAACGAACUGUACCAAAACAGAUUAGAAACUCCCUGCAGAGUCAAUGCGAAAACUUCAUACUAGGAGAAAAAGAGAGAGAACCAUGAAAGUAUGGUC